GCCCUUAGAGUUUGAUCCUGGCUCAGGACGAACGCUGGCGGCGCGCCUAACACAUGCAAGUCGAACGAGAGAGAGGGAGCUUGCUUCCUCAAUCGAGUGGCGAACGGGUGAGUAACGCGUGAGGAACCUGCCUCAAAGAGGGGGACAACAGUUGGAAACGACUGCUAAUACCGCAUAAGCCCACAGGUCGGCAUCGACCAGAGGGAAAAGGAGCAAUCCGCUUUGAGAUGGCCUCGCGUCCGAUUAGCUAGUUGGUGAGGUAACGGCCCACCAAGGCAACGAUCGGUAGCCGGACUGAGAGGUUGAACGGCCACAUUGGGACUGAGACACGGCCCAGACUCCUACGGGAGGCAGCAGUGGGGAAUAUUGCACAAUGGGGGAAACCCUGAUGCAGCGACGCCGCGUGGAGGAAGAAGGUCUUCGGAUUGUAAACUCCUGUUGUUGAGGAAGAUAAUGACGGUACUCAACAAGGAAGUGACGGCUAACUACGUGCCAGCAGCCGCGGUAAAACGUAGGUCACAAGCGUUGUCCGGAAUUACUGGGUGUAAAGGGAGCGCAGGCGGGAAGACAAGUUGGAAGUGAAAUCUAUGGGCUCAACCCAUAAACUGCUUUCAAAACUGUUUUUCUUGAGUAGUGCAGAGGUAGGCGGAAUUCCCGGUGUAGCGGUGGAAUGCGUAGAUAUCGGGAGGAACACCAGUGGCGAAGGCGGCCUACUGGGCACCAACUGACGCUGAGGCUCGAAAGUGUGGGUAGCAAACAGGAUUAGAUACCCUGGUAGUCCACACCGUAAACGAUGAUUACUAGGUGUUGGAGGAUUGACCCCUUCAGUGCCGCAGUUAACACAAUAAGUAAUCCACCUGGGGAGUACGACCGCAAGGUUGAAA
rnacentral:rRNA from 1 species